rnacentral:rRNA from 1 species
AUCAACUUUCGAUGGUAGGAUAGAGGCCUACCAUGGUUUUAACGGGUAACGGGAAAUUAGGGUUCGAUUCCGGAGAGGGAGCCUGAGAAACGGCUACCACAUCCAAGGAAGGCAGCAGGCGUGCAAAUUACCCAAUCCCAACACGGGGAGGUAGUGACAAUAAAUAACAAUAUGGGGCCUUUACGGGUCUCGUAAUUGGAAUGAGUACAAUUUAAAUCCCUUAACGAGGAACAAUUGGAGGGCAAGUCUGGUGCCAGCAGCCGCGGUAAUUCCAGCUCCAAUAGCGUAUAUUAAAGUUGUUGCAGUUAAAAAGCUCGUAGUUGAAUUUCGGGGUCUGUCCAUCGGUCGGGCUUUUUCGGUCCGCACUGUUGCGAUGGAUUCCUACCUUCUGAAUAACCGAUUUGCCAUUAAUUUGGUGGGUCGGGGAAGCAGGACUGUUACCUUGAAAAAAUUAGAGUGCUCAAAGCAGGCUAGUGCCUGAAUACAUUAGCAUGGAAUAAUAAAAUAGGACGGCAUGGUUCUAUUUUGUUGGUUUCUAGGAUCACCGUAAUGAUUAAUAGGGAUAGUUGGGGGCAUUAGUAUUCAAUUGUCAGAGGUGAAAUUCUUGGAUUUAUUGAAGACUAACUACUGCGAAAGCAUUUGCCAAGGAUGUUUUCAUUAAUCAAGAACGAAAGUUAGGGGAUCGAAGACGAUCAGAUACCGUCGUAGUCUUAACCAUAAACUAUGCCGACUAGGGAUCGGACGAUAACAAAUUAAUGACUCGUUCGGCGCCUUACGGGAAACCAAAGUGUUUGGGUUC